rnacentral:rRNA from 1 species
GAGUUUGAUCCUGGCUCAGGAUGAACGCUAGCGGCAGGCUUAACACAUGCAAGUCGAGGGGCAUCGGGAGGGAAGCUUGCUUUCCUUGCCGGCGACCGGCGCACGGGUGAGUAACACGUAUGCAACCUGCCCUCUUCAGGGGGACAACCUUCCGAAAGGGAGGCUAAUCCCGCGUAUAUCGGUUUCGGGCAUCCGUUAUCGAGGAAAGAUUCAUCGGAAGAGGAUGGGCAUGCGGCGCAUUAGCUUGACGGCGGGGUAACGGCCCACCGUGGCGACGAUGCGUAGGGGUUCUGAGAGGAAGGUCCCCCACACUGGUACUGAGACACGGACCAGACUCCUACGGGAGGCAGCAGUGAGGAAUAUUGGUCAAUGGGAGAGAUCCUGAACCAGCCAAGCCGCGUGGGGAAGACGGCCCUAUGGGUUGUAAACCUCUUUUGUCGGAGAACAAAACCCGGGACGUGUCCCGGACUGCGUGUAUCCGAAGAAAAGCAUCGGCUAACUCCGUGCCAGCCGCCGCUGUAAG